rnacentral:rRNA from 1 species
AACGAACGCUGGCGGCAUGCCUAACACAUGCAAGUCGAACGAGACCUUCGGGUCUAGUGGCGCACGGGUGCGUAACGCGUGGGAACCUGCCCUUAGGUUCGGAAUAACUCCCCGAAAGGGGUGCUAAUACCGGAUAAUGUCUUCGGACCAAAGAUUUAUCGCCUUUGGAUGGGCCCGCGUUGGAUUAGCUAGUUGGUAGGGUAAAAGCCUACCAAGGCGACGAUCCAUAGCUGGUCUGAGAGGAUGAUCAGCCACAUUGGGACUGAGACACGGCCCAGACUCCUACGGGAGGCAGCAGUGGGGAAUAUUGGACAAUGGGCGAAAGCCUGACGCAGCCAUGCCGCGUGAAUGAUGAAGGUCUUAGGAUUGUAAAGCUCUUUUACCCGGGAUGAUAAUGACAGUACCGGGAGAAGAAGCCCCGGCUAACUCCGUG